AAAAUUCUAUAUUCAAUUAUUUUUUUAUAUAAAAUAAUUGUUGUUUGAAAAUUUAUUUAAAAAUUAUUUUAUAUAUAAAUUUUUGUGUAAAUUUAUUUAAAAAAUUUAAAAAAUUUAAAGUUUAUUGUAGUAAUUAAUAUUAAAUAUUUAAGAAAUUAAGAUUUAGUAAUUUUAAAAUUAAUAACAAAUUUUGUGCCAGCAGUUGCGGUUAUACAAAAGUUAAAUUAAAUUUUUUUAGUUAAUUAAUUAAUAAAUAUGAAUUAAAAAUAUAAAAAUUAAAUUAUUAAGUGAAAUUUUAAUUUAAUCAAAAUAUUAUUUUAUUUUAUGAAUUAAAAAAAUUAAAUGAUAAACUAGGAUUAGAUACCCUAUUAUUUUAAUUUAAAAUUUUAAAACUAAAUUAAUAAAUAAUUAUUUAUUGAAAAUAAAAUAAAUUGGCGGUAUUUUAGUUUAUUCAGAGGAAUCUGUUUAAUAAUUGAUAAUCCACGAAUAAAUUUACUUAAUUUUAUUAUUUUGUAUAUCGUUGUUAAAAAAAUAUUUUUAAAAAAUUAUAAUAUUUUAAAAUUAAUAAAUAAUAAAUUAAAUCAGAUCAAGAUGCAGAUUAUAAUUAAGAAUAUAAUGGAUUACAAUAAAUUUAAUAUUUAAGUUGGAUAAAAAUUUGAAAAAAUUAUUUGAAAUUGGAUUUGAAUGUAAUUUUAUUUAAUUUAAUAAAAUGAUUUUAAAUUUAAAAUAUGUACAUAUUGCCCGUCGCUUUCAUAUAUAAAUUAUAAAAUUAUAUUUAAAUAUAUAUAUAUAUAUAUAUAUAUAUAUAUAUAUAUAUAUAUAAAUAAUAAUUAUUUUAUAUAAAAAAUUGAAAUAAGUCGUAACAAAGUAGAAAUACUGGAAAGUGUUUCUAGAAACAA
rnacentral:rRNA from 1 species